rnacentral:rRNA from 1 species
GAUUAACGCUGGCGGCGUGCAUAACACAUGCAAGUCGAACGAUGAAACUCAUUAGAUUUCUUCGGAAUGAAAAUGAAUGGAUUAGUGGCGAACGGGUGAGUAACGCGUGAGUAACCUGCCUUACACAAGGGGAUAGCCUCUGGAAACGGAGAAUAAUACCCUAUGAAACCAGACAAUCGCAUGAUAAUCUGGUCAAAAUGUUUAGUGGUGUAAGAUGGACUUGCGUCUGAUUAGCUAGUUGGUGAGAUAAAAGCUCACCAAGGCAACGAUCAGUAGCCGGCUUGAGAGAGUGUACGGCAACAUUGGGACUGAGACACGGCCCAGACUCCUACGGGAGGCAGCAGUGGGGAAUUUUGCACAAUGGGGGAAACCCUGAUGCAGCGACGCCGCGUGAUUGAGAAGGCCUUCGGGUUGUAAAAAUCUUUUGUAUAGGAAGAAAAUGACAGUACUAUACGAAUAAGGUCCGGCUAAUUACGUG